rnacentral:rRNA from 1 species
UACGGGGGGGGCAAGCGUUGUUCGGAAUUACUGGGCGUAAAGGGCUCGUAGGCGGCCAACUAAGUCGGACGUGAAAUCCCUCGGCUUAACCGGGGAACUGCGUCCGAUACUGGAUGGCUUGAGUUUGGGAGAGGGAUGCGGAAUUCCAGGUGUAGCGGUGAAAUGCGUAGAUAUCUGGAGGAACACCGGUGGCGAAGGCGGCAUCCUGGACCAAUACUGACGCUGAGGAGCGAAAGCCAGGGGAGCAAAGCGGG